CUCCUGGGCUGAGGCCACCGCUGAUGACAGACGGAGAUGCAGUGGGUUCCUGACAGGCCACAAUGCUGUGAGUCUCACGGAGCUGGCUGAGGAUUUGUGCCCAUAACGAGGUCCGUCCAAAGAUGUCCAGUAACUUUCCUAUGUGGCGAGCAAGUGCACAGCUGAAAUUCAAAGGAGCUAGUUGGCCUCCAAAGGCCAUACUCGGGACCAUUAAUUACAUGUACCAGGAAGAAGAGGAAGAGGAGGAGAAGGAGAAGGUGAGGUUGGUGACAGAGCCAUCGACAGCGAUGGUGGUGAUGGCCGUGACGAUGCGGUGAAGGUGACUGCAGAAGUCACUGUCCGUGACUGAGCGCUGAUAUUCAGGAGCCACCUCAGCGUCCUUCUGACCUGUCUCAGCUCUUCUCAGGACAGCCCCACGAGGCAGGGCCCGUGACCCCCACUAAGGAAAUCCGAGAGUUGGCUCCAACACUGUCUUUGCGAUUAUCCUGCUGGGAGAAGGCAGCUCGAAGGGCUUCAUGUGACUGAGGCCAGCAAGGCUCCCCGACCUGUUCACCACCACCACAAGCAUCCGAGAGCCUUCUGUGUUUGCAGCCUUGCCUUGCCGAGGGGAGGGCAGGGGCCGUGGCCCUUAAACUCCUCCCGGGUCCUUCACACUGCGCUGUGUCCUGUGAGCUCAUGGGAUUUCCCAUGAGCCUCCUUGCCUCUCCCACGCUGCCCCACAAGGGAGGCGCUGCCACUGACUGCUGUACAGCACUUUCUCUGGGGACUCAGCGGGGUGCCAGGUACAUGUGAUUCCCGGAAGGCAGACGGUCCUUACCUUGGGCAGA